AGGAACUCGGUGCGAGUCCGAGGCGGUCCCGCCACUGUGACCGGGGAGCAGGUUCCCAAUCGACGCCACGGCCCGUUCAGGCGGGCUGGAAGGCGGGAACCCGGGCCACGAUCCGGAAGCCAGGAAACU
rnacentral:ncRNA from 2 species